rnacentral:rRNA from 1 species
CCCUGGCUCAGAUUGAACGCUGGCGGCAGGCCUAACACAUGCAAGUCGAGCGGAUGACAGGAGCUUGCUCCUGAAUUCAGCGGCGGACGGGUGAGUAAUGCCUAGGAAUCUGCCUGGUAGUGGGGGACAACGUUUCGAAAGGAACGCUAAUACCGCAUACGUCCUACGGGAGAAAGCAGGGGACCUUCGGGCCUUGCGCUAUCAGAUGAGCCUAGGUCGGAUUAGCUAGUUGGUGAGGUAAUGGCUCACCAAGGCGACGAUCCGUAACUGGUCUGAGAGGAUGAUCAGUCACACUGGAACUGAGACACGGUCCAGACUCCUACGGGAGGCAGCAGUGGGGAAUAUUGGACAAUGGGCGAAAGCCUGAUCCAGCCAUGCCGCGUGUGUGAAGAAGGUCUUCGGAUUGUAAAGCACUUUAAGUUGGGAGGAAGGGCAGUAACYUAAUACGUUGCCGUCUUGACGUUACCGACAGAAUAAGCACCGG